rnacentral:rRNA from 1 species
UACGUAGGGUGCGAGCGUUAAUCGGAAUUACUGGGCGUAAAGCGUGCGUAGGCGGUUCGUUAAGUCAGCUGUGAAAGCCCCCGGGGCUCAACCUGGGAAUUGCGGUUGAAACUGGCGAACUAGAAUCUGGCAGAGGGGGGGUGGAAUUCCACGUGUAGCAGUGAAAUGCGUAGAGAUGUGGAGGAACACCGAUGGCGAAGGCAGCCCCCUGGGCUGAGAUUGACGCUCAGGCACGAAAGCGUGGGGAGCAAACAGG